AAACGGGUGGUAAUGCCGGAUGCUCCAGUUGAUCGCAUGGUCUUCUGGGAAAGCUUUCGCGGUAUGGGAUGGGGUCGCGUCCUAUCAGCUUGACGGCGGGGUAACGGCCCACCGUGGCUUCGACGGGUAGCCGGCCUGAGAGGGCGACCGGCCACAUUGGGACUGAGAUACGGCCCAGACUCCUACGGGAGGCAGCAGUGGGGAAUAUUGCACAAUGGGCGCAAGCCUGAUGCAGCGACGCCGCGUGAGGGAUGGAGGCCUUCGGGUUGUAAACCUCUUUUAUCGGGGAGCAAGCGAGAGUGAGUUUACCCGUUGAAUAAGCACCGGCUAACUACGUGCCAGCAGCCGCGGUAAUACGUAGGGUGCAAGCGUUAUCCGGAAUUAUUGGGCGUAAAGGGCUCGUAGGCGGUUCGUCGCGUCCGGUGUGAAAGUCCAUCGCUUAACGGUGGAUCCGCGCCGGGUACGGGCGGGCUUGAGUGCGGUAGGGGAGACUGGAAUUCCCGGUGUAACGGUGGAAUGUGUAGAUAUC
rnacentral:rRNA from 1 species